AACGAUCGGAGGGCAAGUCUGGUGCCAGCAGCCGCGGUAAUUCCAGCUCCAAUAGCGUACGUUAAAGUUGCUGCAGUUAAAAAGCUCGUAGUUGAACGUUCGGGUUCCGCGGGACGGGGCCGCCCCGCGAGGGACGGCGCCGCCCCGGGGCCGUCGUGAUAUCUCAUCUCGCCGCCCGUCGCGAGGCGGACGGAGGGAGUGGAUGAGGUUACCUGGAAAAAUACGGGGCGGAUCUAGGCGGGCGAACCUCGCCAACGAACGAUCGGACAUGGGAUAACGGAAGAGGGCGUCGGCUCGACUUCGUCGGUUCCUCGGGCCGAGGCACGUACGGUGAAUAGGGACGGUCGGGGCCGCCCGUACCGGGUCGUGAGAGGUGAAAUUCUAGGAUCGACCCGAGACGAACCGCCGCGAAAGCAUUUCGGCAAGGACGCUUUCAUUAAUCAAGAACGAAAGUC
rnacentral:rRNA from 1 species